ensembl:snoRNA
AGGAUAAAUGAUGAGCAUUGAUGGCAUAUGAGAUGAAUAUCAUGACUGCAAGUAUGAGAGUUUGAGAUCCAC